rnacentral:rRNA from 1 species
AGGGAGCGAGCGUUGUCCGGAUUUACUGGGUGUAAAGGGUGCGUAGGCGGCUUCGCAAGUCAGUAGUGAAAUCCAUGGGCUUAACCCAUGAACUGCUAUUGAAACUGUGGAGCUUGAGUGAAGGAGAGGUAGGCGGAAUUCCCGGUGUAGCGGUGAAAUGCGUAGAGAUCGGGAGGAACACCAGUGGCGAAGGCGGCCUACUGGGCUUUAACUGACGCUGAGGCACGAAAGCGUGGGGAGCAA